AGCCAUCUCUCCCAAAUUCGUGUACCCCCACCUAGCCACAACCUUUGGACCACUUGGUCUUCUAGAAGAGGGUGUUUUGAUGGCCUAUUGAAGGCCAAGUAUUCUUACAUGGCCAAGAUUGAUUUUGGAAGAUAUUUUGUGAAAUAUCCAACCAAGUGGAGCCCAACUAUCACUCAUCUCUAUCCAUCUCUUUCUCUCACCCCUCUAGCCGAUUACACUCACUCCCCCAUCUCUCCAUUUUCCUCGCACGAAGCCAAGGGCAGAGAAGCCGCGCCUGCACACCCAUCUCCGCGCAACCGAACUCCAAACUCGUUCGGUCCAUCUUCUUGCCGUGAAGUCGCAAGAUCCACCGAAGCUGCUCCAUCUCCACGCUGCCACUUGCCCGCUUCUCUUUCUGCUUCGGUCAACAAGCGAACCAGCGAAGCCAUGGAUUGACCGCUGGAAGCCCACGACUCCACCGAGUUUGGUCGGCCACUCACGCCAGCCUCCACCAAAAGUCAGCAACCGGCAGGCCAGCGAAACUGCCCCUCAUCCGCGCCAUCUGUCCGCAAUCCAACUUCUCUCAGUCAACUUCAAGCCACGCCGAAGCCCCUUCGUUGACUGCAUCCCGUCCGCAACGCCAGCCACGCGUCUUCAGUCACGAAGCUUCAGUCCGCGCGUCCACGAGUGUCUUCGGUUAGCAAUCUCUACGGAAUUGAAGUCCACGAAGACCGUCUGCCAGUCUUGCUUCCCUUCGGUCUUCACGCAUCAUCAUCACACGUCCAGAAAGCCACCGAAUUGAAGACUGAAGCUACUCUCUCUUCAUCCACGAAGCCAGCUCGUGGAAUCGAGCAAAGCGCAGCCCAUCACCCGCAAUCGACCCAGCAAACUCUAGUGAUUUGGGCCAUGUCUUCAGUCCAGCACUUUCAGCAAUUCAGGCCCAGCAAGAUUCAGUCCAAAUGAGGGCCAUUUCAAGCCCGCAAGAGUCCAACAGCCCAGUCUUUUUGAGGCCCAAUUUCCAGCAAAGAAAUUUGAAGCCCAAGUGAAGUCAGUCCAGAAAUUUCAGCAGGCCCAAUUCAACUUGGGUCUAGCCCAAAAGCAGGAACAAAUCUCAAUUGGGCUGAGAUUUGUUGGGCCAAGCCUAAGGCCCGGUCCAAGUUUGCCGGUGUCGUCGAAAGUCCUAUUUCGGCCGCCGUCGCGUCGCCGUUGCGGUGAUUCGGUCUCCGCUUUUGCCAAGUGAGUUUUACUCACUAAUGCUUUAUUAGUUUGCUAAAUUCGUUUAGGGGUUGGUUAGAUUUAAUUAAAUGCAAUUAGGUGGUUAGAUUAGUUUAGAUCAAUUAAAUUAGAGACUUAAUGAUGCAUGUUAGGUGGUUAGAAAUAGACAUUAGCAAGUAGACAUGCCAUGUUAUUUAUGGAAUGAGUCUCGGUAAUUUUCCGGGUUCGUAUCGGCUUCCAAUUAGGCUAUAACGGGCCAAGUUGGAUUUAUUGCAUUUAUUUAAUAUUUUCCGUAAUUAUUUAAUUAUUUAUUUAUUUUCCGGAAAUUAGGCUGGGAUAGCCGACGACCAAAAUUUUGUGCUGAUUCCAAUGGUGCUUUCUGUUUAUUUAUUCGAGGAUCAGAUUAUGAAAUUUUUGUGAAAUUUGUGAAUAUGAGAAUUUGUCCCAAAAUUAGAAAAUGUCGGUACUUGAAGGGAAAGUAAUUGUGUGAGGUUGUGAGUUGGAUUAAAUAUUGCCAGGUGGGGCCGUGAUGCCACCAAGUUGAGAAAUAUUGCCAGGUGGGGCCGUGAUGCCACCAAGUUAAGAACAAUUGCCAGGUGGGGCCGUGAUGCCACCAAGUUGAGAAAAUUGCCAGGUGGGGCCGUGAUGCCACCAAGUUGAGAAAAAUUGCCAGGUGGGGCCGUGAUGCCACCAAGUUGAGAACAUUUGCCAGGUGGGGCCGUGAUGCCACCAAGUCUAGAAAAUUUGCCGAGUGGGGCCGUGAUUCCACUAAAAAUAAAUUAUGCCUAUAGGGUCGUGAUUCAGAGUCAAGAAUGAAGAGUCGGGAUGACUAUGUGAUGUUUUGAUGACAUGUAAUCGACUGAGUCGAUUGAUCGUUAAAUCGAUCUGAUUGAUUGGAUGCUAUGAUUGUCAGUAUUUAUUAUUUGAACUGACUUGCAGGAAGGAAACUGAGGCCAAGGUAAGUCCUCUGAUCCAUGAUGUGCUUAGGCAGCCCUCAAGGCGUAUUAGUUUACUAAUCGAGUCGUAGGGGGUAGGACUCGCUGAGACGUGGUCUCAUUGGUUAUUGAAUAACCAUUUCAGGACCCUGAGGAGAAGCUAAGGAAAGGGAACCUGAAGGGGAGAAAGACUUUUGAAGAAGAAGAUGAUCCAGAGAGGGAUCUUGAAUAUAACCCGGAUGUGGAUUGAGAUCCCAUCCCUUUUGAAAACCCUGUCUUGGUAUAGAUAGGUGUGAGACUUUUAUGCUGUAAAGAGUAUUGUAAAUAUACUAUGAGUGGUGCUGUUAAUGAAAGUGUGGUU
rnacentral:lncRNA from 1 species